CGGGUUGACUCGUGCAGCAAUACUUCUCAGGAAAACCACCUCUGGUGAUGAGAUAUAAUUGGCAACCACUUUUCUAGAUAGAGCAAGUAUGUAACUUCUCAUGCUCAAAUCGUGUUGUGUGAAAAAUGCAUCAUGCUGAACAUUCAACCACAUGCCUGAUGGUUUUAGUGCAGCCACAUUCUCAACUUGCUGGAUUGGAGACAAGCCAUCAAAUUUGUUAGGUCGAGAAUAGACACCCUGGGUAUAGACUACAGAUGAUAAA
rnacentral:misc_RNA from 1 species